GAUGAACGCUGGCGGCGUGCCUAAUACAUGCAAGUCGAACGCAUUGUGGUUGAAAUGAUAUGAAGAACUUGUUCAGAUUUGAUUUUCAACAUUGCAAUGAGUGGCGAACGGGUGAGUAACACGUGGGAAACCUACCUCUUAGCAGGGGAUAACAUUUGGAAACAAAUGCUAAUACCGUAUAAUAAUUAAAACCGCAUGGUUUUAGUUUAAAAGAUGGUCUUGCUAUCACUAAGAGAUGGUCCCGCGGUGUAUUAGUUAGUUGGUGAGGUAAUGGCUCACCAAGACAAUGAUACAUAGCCGAGUUGAGAGACUGACCGGCCACAAUGGGACUGAGACACGGCCCAUACUCCUACGGGAGGCAGCAGUAGGAAGUCUUCCACAAUGGACGAAAGUCUGAUGGAGCAACGCCGCGUGUGUGAUGAAGGUUUCGGCUCGUAAAACACUGUUGUAAGAGAAGAAUGACAUUGAGAGUAACUGUUCAAUGUGUGACGGUAU
rnacentral:rRNA from 1 species